AGCAUAAUAAAUAUUUUCUUUGUGUCCCAAACAGUUGCUGUGUGUGUUGCUCCGUUGAAUUAUGAGGCAACUGAAGGAGAGAAUGUUACUAUCUCCUUCAAAACUGCUGAACUGGAGAGAGCCGAUCAAGUGAAGAUAACUCUGACCAGAGGAAGUCAGAAAAAACUGAUUGCGCAGCACUGUCGCUGUGUCCAUCGUGGAGACUGUAGUGUUGUGGAAACAUCGGGAGUCUUACUGAGAGCUGAAGAAGGAACCGUAACUCUUCUGCGUGUCAGCUCCAAUAACUCAGGCCUCUAUGAAGUAAUAAUCAUUGGAAGUAAUGUGUCCAGGAUAAAUGCCACACUUGUUGUCAACGAACCUCUGUUGUCCUCCAGUAAAAAGCCACCACAAUCCUCCAUCACAAACCCUCCAGACUCCUCUGAACGCCAAAGGCUUUAUGUGUUAAUUGCUUCAGUUGUAUUCAUCUUGGUGGUCUUGGGGGGUUUGUUUCUUCUGUACAUUUUCAAGAGGAAAUGUAAGUCAUCAGCUGAUGUUGAAGCAGUGUGCUGAACCGCUGCUGUCUCCAG
rnacentral:lncRNA from 12 species